CAGAUUGAACGCUGGCGGCAGGCUUAACACAUGCAAGUCGAGCGGAUGAAGGUAGCUUGCUACUGGAUUCAGCGGCGGACGGGUGAGUAAUGCUUAGGAAUCUGCCUAUUAGUGGGGGACAACGUUCCGAAAGGAGCGCUAAUACCGCAUACGUCCUACGGGAGAAAGCAGGGGACCUUUGGGCCUUGCGCUAAUAGAUGAGCCUAAGUCGGAUUAGCUAGUUGGUAGGGUAAAGGCCUACCAAGGCGACGAUCUGUAGCGGGUCUGAGAGGAUGAUCCGCCACACUGGGACUGAGACACGGCCCAGACUCCUACGGGAGGCAGCAGUGGGGAAUAUUGGACAAUGGGGGGAACCCUGAUCCAGCCAUGCCGCGUGUGUGAAGAAGGCCUUUUGGUUGUAAAGCACUUUAAGCGAGGAGGAGGCUACCUAGAUUAAUACUUUAGGAUAGUGGACGUUACUCGCAGAAUAAGCACCGGCUAACUCUGUGCCAGCAGCCGCGGUAAUACAGAGGGUGCGAGCGUUAAUCGGAUUUACUGGGCGUAAAGCGUGCGUAGGCGGCCAAUUAAGUCAAAUGUGAAAUCCCCGAGCUUAACUUGGGAAUUGCAUUCGAUACUGGUUGGCUAGAGUAUGGGAGAGGAUGGUAGAAUUCCAGGUGUAGCGGUGAAAUGCGUAGAGAUCUGGAGGAAUACCGAUGGCGAAGGCAGCCAUCUGGCCUAAUACUGACGCUGAGGUACGAAAGCAUGGGGAGCAAACAGGAUUAGAUACCCUGGUAGUCCAUGCCGUAAACGAUGUCUACUAGCCGUUGGGGCCCUUGAGGCUUUAGUGGCGCAGCUAACGCGAUAAGUAGACCGCCU
rnacentral:rRNA from 1 species